CACUGUACCCUCAGAUCUGGGCUCUGUCUUGGCACCAAGCUGGCAUUUGACACGUGUCUCGAACAAAUGACAAAGAGGCAGUGUGACCCAACACUGCAAUUCCCAGAUGCCAGGCUCUCCCAGGGGACAGUGAACCGGGUCACUGUUCCUGAGUUGGACACUUGGAGGAAAGCUUGGAUUUGUUUGGAGCCCUAGCAGUUUAUCCGAUCUGUGGAGCAGGGCACUAAGAAGAGAUGGCAUUCACUAAACCCACAGGAAAUAAGUGCUUUCCGAGUACUCACUCCAGGCCACGUGCUGUCCCGGGCACUGGACUUAGAGACAGUCUGCUUCUCUAAAUCCAUCCGGUUCAGUGAACACUUUGUAAAUGCCUACACGGGGCUCGCCGCUAUUCAGGAGGAUAACAGAUCCGAGAGUGAGGCAGCAAUCCUACCCUUCAGAGGCACUGUCCAGUACAGUGCAUCAUCCCAACUGUGGGACAGUCACCCUGGAAAAACACAAAUGCCAGAGUCUCACACAGACCACCUGCUCAGAAUCUCAGGGGCCUUCAGAAGAUCGCUAGCAUGGUACACUGGCUCUCCUGGUCUCCAGCUUGCUGACAGAAGAUCUUGAACUUCUGACCCUCCAUAAUCAUGGACAGGGGAGCCUCACAACCUAACCAGGAAGUAUUGAGGAAUCCUGCAUCUCAUACAUUAACAGAUUAUUAGGAGGAAACAAGAAGGCCAAAGUGGCUUUACUGACAAUUGGAAAAGAGCAGCAGAGGACUAAAAAGGAUGGAGGACAGAGACAGGAGACAAGCAUCGUGAUUAAUUCUCCAAACAAGCUGAGAUACAACCAGUGUAACAGGAAGGAUUCCAUCUUAAGGCUAAGAUUCCAUUUUAAA